GGGAUGGAGCAGCCUGGUAGCUCGUCGGGCUCAUAACCCGAAGGUCGUCGGUUCAAAUCCGGCUCCC
rnacentral:tRNA from 1 species